rnacentral:rRNA from 1 species
UGGGGAAUAUUGGACAAUGGAGGGAACUCUGAUCCAGCAAUCCUGUGUGUGUGAAGAAGGCUUUAGGACUGUAAAACACUUUUAGUAGGGAAGAAAAAAAUGACGGUACCUACAGAAGAAGCAACGGCUAAAUACGUGCCAGCAGCCGCGGUAAUACGUAUGUUGCGAGCGUUAUCCGGAAUUAUUGGGCUUAAAGGGCAUCUAGGCGGUAAGACAAGUUGAAGGUGAAAACCUGUGGCUCAACCAUAGGCUUGCCUACAAAACUGUUGAACUAGAGUACUGGAAAGGUGGGUGGAACUACACGAGUAGAGGUGAAAUUCGUAGAUAUGUGUAGGAAUGCCGAUGAUGAAGAUAACUCACUGGACAGAAACUGACGCUGAAGUGCGAAAGCUAGGGGAGCAAACAAG